AGUGAACGCUGGCGGUAGGCCUAACACAUGCAAGUCGAACCGCAGCACAGGAGAGCUUGCUCUCUGGGUGGCGAGUGGCGGACGGGUGAGGAAUACAUCGGAAUCUACUCUGUCGUGGGGGAUAACGUAGGGAAACUUACGCUAAUACCGCAUACGACCUACGGGUGAAAGCAGGGGACCUUCGGGCCUUGCGCGAUUGAAUGAGCCGAUGUCGGAUUAGCUAGUUGGCGGGGUAAAGGCCCACCAAGGCGACGAUCCGUAGCUGGUCUGAGAGGAUGAUCAGCCACACUGGAACUGAGACACGGUCCAGACUCCUACGGGAGGCAGCAGUGGGGAAUAUUGGACAAUGGGCGCAAGCCUGAUCCAGCCUUACCGCGUGGGUGAAGAAGGCCUUCGGGUUGUAAAGCCCUUUUGUUGGGAAAGAAAUCCAGCUGGCUAAUACCCGGUUGGGAUGACGGUACCCAAAGAAUAAGCACCGGCUAACUUCGUGCCAGCAGCCGCAGUAA
rnacentral:rRNA from 1 species